rnacentral:rRNA from 1 species
GAUGAACGCUGGCGGCGUGCUUAACACAUGCAAGUCGAACGGAAAGGCCCUGCUUGCCGGGUAUUCGAGUGGCGAACGGGUGAGUAACACGUGGGUGAUCUGCCCUGCACUUCGGGAUAAGCCUGGGAAACUGGGUCUAAUACCGGAUAGGAGCCAUUUUUAGUGUGAUGGUUGGAAAGUUUUUUCGGUGUAGGAUGAGCUCGCGGCCUAUCAGCUUGUUGGUGGGUAAUGGCCUACCAAGGCGGCGACGGGUAGCCGGCCUGAGAGGGUGGACGGCCACAUUGGGACUGAGAUACGGCCCAGACUCCUACGGGAGGCAGCAGGGGGGAAUAUUGCACAAUGGGCGCAAGCCUGAUGCAGCGACGCCGCGUGGGGGAUGACGGCCUUCGGGUUGUAAACGCCUUUCGCUAGGGACGAAGCUUUUUGUGACGGUACCUAGAUAAGAAGCACCGGCUAACUACGUG